rnacentral:rRNA from 1 species
UACGUAGGUGGCAAGCGUUGUCCGGAUUUAUUGGGUGUAAAGGGCGUGUAGGCGGAGCUGCAAGUCAGAUGUGAAAUCCCGGGGCUCAACCCCGGAACUGCAUUUGAAACUGUAGCCCUUGAGUAUCGGAGAGGCAGGCGGAAUUCCUAGUGUAGCGGUGAAAUGCGUAGAUAUUAGGAGGAACACCAGUGGCGAAGGCGGCCUGCUGGACGACAACUGACGCUGAGGCGCGAAAGCGUGGGGAGCAAACAGG